rnacentral:rRNA from 1 species
AGUGAACGCUGGCGGUAGGCCUAACACAUGCAAGUCGAACGGCAGCACAGUAAGAGCUUGCUCUUACGGGUGGCGAGUUGCGUACGGGUGAGGAAUACAUCGGAAUCUACUUUUUCGUGGGGGAUAACGUAGGGAAACUUACGCUAAUACCGCAUACGACCUACGGGUGAAAGCGGGGGAUCUUCGGACCUUGCGCGAUUGAAUGAGCCGAUUUCGGAUUAGCUAGUUGGCGGGGUAAAGGCCCACCAAGGCGACGAUCCGUAGCUGGUCUGAGAGGAUGAUCAGCCACACUGGAACUGAGACACGGUCCAGACUCCUACGGGAGGCAGCAGUGGGGAAUAUUGGACAAUGGGCGCAAGCCUGAUCCAGCCAUACCGCGUGGGUGAAGAAGGCCUUCGGGUUGUAAAGCCCUUUUGUUGGGAAAGAAAAGCAGCAGGUUAAUACCCCGCUGUUAUGACGGUACCCAAAGAAUAAGCACCGGCUAACUUCGUG